UCCAAAUUCCAAGACGGAGCUACGGGUAUAUCAUUACAUAUAAUACCAUUGUGAUAUUAUAUCAAUGGUGAUCAGAGGUCGGUUAACUUCUCCUCUGUGCUCUCUUGAGUUUUGUUAAGCUUGGUGUUGGUACGAGCAUGUCUAAUGGAAAUCUGAGGUCUUCUGAGGUAGCUUGGAUUUAAUAUUAUGCUGUAAGAUAACAAAAGGGAAGUCAAUGAAUCAUGAUAGUUAUAAAAUCCAAUAUAUAGUAAUUAACGUGAAAAGAUUUACAUUAAACAUCAAGGAAAUGCAUCCCAAAUACAUGUAAUAAUGAAUCUUUGCUGUAGCUGCUUUUUCUUACCAACCUUCCAUUUUUU
rnacentral:lncRNA from 1 species